AUUGAACGCUGGCGGCAUGCUUUACACAUGCAAGUCGAACGAGUGGCGAACGGGUGAGUAAUAUAUCGGAACGUACCGAGUAAUGGGGGAUAACCAAUCGAAAGGUUGGCUAAUACCGCAUAUUAUUCGAGCGGCCGAUACCGGAUUAGCUAGUUGGUGGGGUAAAGGCCUACCAAGGGGACGAGCAGUAGCGGGUCUGAGAGGACGAUCGGCAACACUGGACCGGAGACACGGCCCAGACUCCUACGGGAGGCAGCAGUGGGGAAUUUUGGACAAUGGGGGCAACCCUGCUGCAGCCAUGCCGCGUGUAUGAAGAAGGCCUCCGGGUUGUAAAGUACUUUUGUUAGGGAAGCGGUACCUAAAGAAUAAGCACCGGCUAACUACGUGCCAGCAGCCGCGGUAAUUC
rnacentral:rRNA from 1 species